rnacentral:lncRNA from 1 species
CUAGUACUGAAAGCAUAAGCUGAAGCUAGCUAGCAGUGCAAUGCAUAAAAUGUGGUGAGUAGUUGACUCAGAGAGAGAAAGACAUUAGUUGAAAAGUUUUAAACAAAUUAAUUUAUUAAAAAAUGAAGGAGAAGCAAGAGAGAGAGAAAGAUUUUAUCAUUUGUUUUCACUUUCAGUUUCACUUACUUAGCUAGCAAAUACAGCUGGCAAGUUUAGUUACUCAAACACCCGGCUCAAACAGAGGGAUGCUAUGUUAACUAGCUGACUAUGACUAUCCAACACAACACUGAAACUCUUCCAAGUCAAGAGAGACACUACCAUUUCCGGUAUAGCAUUUCCCACAGGCAGCAGACUGCGUCUAAGAAGGGUGGCACUCGGCAGUAAUCCUGAGGUGCUUGCUACCGGCAUUGGCAGCUUCUCACAGGCCCAAAGGCCAAACUGAGAGAGGACCUGAGCCCUAGGACCAUGCCUCAGGACUACCUGGCAUGAUGACUCCUUGCUGUCCCCAGUCCACCUGGCCGUGCUGCUGCUCCAGUUUCAACUGUUCUGCCUGCGGCUAUGGAACCCUGACCUGUUCCUUGGACGUGCUACCUGUCCCAGACCUGCUGUUUUCAACUCUCUAGAGACAGCAGGAGCAGUAGAGAUACUCUCAAUGAUCGG